GUGACUCCGCCCACUUCCGGCAUGUGACGUAUGGUUCUGCUAUCGGCCCGAUCUCGCACAGACCUGCUCUACAGCAGAACCAGAACUAUAACUAACAUUCAGCUCAAGCACUUCAUACACACGGACACGGAACCCAGUCCGGAGCUCAGAGCGAUCUGAUGGCGUCCGCGAGUUUGUCUGCAGCGUUCAGGCGGUUUGUGAACAGAACUGUGAAGACCAGGAGGAUGAAGGAAUGCAUUUGGACCGAUCGAAUCAGAACUUCAAACAGAAAAGCUUCGUUUCUCGUGGCUGUGACUCCUCUGUCCUUCCUCAUCUUCGAGAGAGUCGCUCAUUUCUCUUCGGUUCGAGCGCUGGACUCAGCUCAAGAAGUUUUAGAACAAGCAGAUUAUCUGUACAGCUGCGGAGAGACACAGAAGCUCCACCAGCUCCUGGUGCGCCACAAAGACAGUGAUGAUGCAGAGUUUCUGUGGCGCUUGGCGCGAGCGUCCCGUGAUCUGACGUCACUGUCCAGCAUCAGCGCCGACGAGAAGAAGCGGCUCACGUACGAGGCCCUGGACUACGCCAAGAAAGCUCUGGAGAAAGACGAGGCUUCCUUUGCGGCACACAAAUGGUUCGCAAUCUGCCUCAGUGACGUCGGUGAUUACGAAGGGAUCAAAGUGAAAUUAGGAAAUUCCUACAUCAUUAGAAACCAUUUAGAGCGAGCGAUUGAACUCAAUCCAAAGGAUGCCACGUCCAUCCAUAUUCUGGGUUACUGGUGAGUUUGUAUUCUGAUAUAAAUAUAUGGCCAUACUGGACGCUUUCAGUAACCUCCUGACGUGUCUGUCUGCGGCUCGCAGGUGUUUCGCCUUCGCUGAAUUAGCCUGGUACCAGAGGAAAGUAGCAGCUGUUAUUUUUGCGUCGCCUCCAACAGCCACUUAUGAAGAGGCUUUGGCAUUUUUCCUGAAAGCUGAAGAAGUUGACCUGAAUUUCUACAGCAAGAGUCC